rnacentral:miRNA from 1 species
UUCAUUUUUAAAAUAGACAUU